GCCGGUGUGUUGGAAUUGGUAGACGAGGCGGACUCAAAAUCCGUUGGUAGCGAUACCGUGUGGGUUCGAGUCCCACCACCGGCACCA
rnacentral:tRNA from 1 species